rnacentral:rRNA from 1 species
AUUUGGAGAGGAUGCUUUUGGCGCGGCGCCGUCCGAGUUCCUUGGAACAGGACGCCACAGAGGGUGAGAGCCCCGUACGGACGGACGCCUAGCCUUUACAAAGCUCCUUCGACGAGUCGAGUAGUUUGGGAAUGCUGCUCAAAAUGGGAGGUAAAUUUCUUCUAAAGCUAAAUACCGGCCAGAGACCGAUAGCGCACAAGUAGAGUGAUCGAAAGAUGAAAAGCACUUUGAAAAGAGGGUUAAAAAGUACGUGAAAUUGUUGAAAGGGAAGCGCCUGUGACCAGACUUGCGCCCCGCGGACCACCCGGCGUUCUCGCCGGUGCACUCCGCGGGGCGCAGGCCAGCAUCGGUUCUCCUAGGGGGACAAAGGCCGCGGGAACGUAGCUCCUUCGGGAGUGUUAUAGCCCGUGGCGGCAUGCCCCUGGGGGGACCGAGGACCGCGCUUCGGCAAGGAUGCUGGCGUAAUGGUCACCAGCGACCCGUCUUGAAACACGGACCAAGGAGUCAAGCAUUGGGGCGAGUGUAUGGGUGCCAAACCCGCACGCGAAAUGAAAGUAAACGCAGGUGAGAGCUUCGGCGCAUCAUCGACCGAUCCUGAUGUCUUCGGAUGGAUUUGAGUAAGAGCCUUACCGCUUGGACCCGAAAGAUGGUGAACUAUGCCUGAAUAGGGUGAAGCCAGAGGAAACUCUGGUGGAGG